UGGCUAUUAUUUCAACGAGCGCUGUCCCCACAAAAUGAAUAUCAUGAAGGCAAGGAAAAUGAUGGGACAAGUUCCAGAUGAUAGGGCUUAUCAUCUUUUUUCUUUCUUUUUUGCACGUUUAGAGGAAGAUUUGUUUGUAAAAAGAGGUAGUCAUUAUUUUUGUAGCAAGAUACUUAAGAAGGAACGAAAGCUGAUGGGCAUGGUCCAGCUCAAAUAGGUGACAACUAAACCAGAAGAUGUGUUAUGCUGAAUUCAGUUUCUCAAAAUAGCACAUGAUGGGCUGUAUAUAUCUCUAAUAUCAAGACAUCUUACCUGUAAUACAAAACACAAGAAGAGAGAAUUGAAGAAUUGUUAAUAGAAACAAUGUUUUCCAUAAGAACCCAUGUAAAUUAGGAAAAUGGCCCCCAUUUCGACAAAAAUAUUCAAACAUUUAUUA